AUGUCGACUUGGAGGUUGUGCCCUUGAGGCGUGGCUUCCGGAGCUAACGCGUUAAGUCGACCGCCUGGGGAGUACGGCCGCAAGGUUAAAACUCAAAUGAAUUGACGGGGGCCCGCACAAGCGGUGGAGCAUGUGGUUUAAUUCGAUGCAACGCGAAGAACCUUACCUGGCCUUGACAUCCACGGAAUUCGGCAGAGAUGCCUUAGUGCCUUCGGGAACCGUGAGACAGGUGCUGCAUGGCUGUCGUCAGCUCGUGUUGUGAAAUGUUGGGUUAAGUCCCGCAACGAGCGCAACCCUUAUCCUUUGUUGCCAGCGAGUAAUGUCGGGAACUCAAAGGAGACUGCCGGUGACAAACCGGAGGAAGGUGGGGAUGACGUCAAGUCAUCAUGGCCCUUACGGCCAGGGCUACACACGUGCUACAAUGGCGCAUACAAAGAGAAGCGAACUCGCGAGAGCAAGCGGACCUCACAAAGUGCGUCGUAGUCCGGAUCGGAGUCUGCAACUCGACUCCGUGAAGUCGGAAUCGCUAGUAAUCGUAGAUCAGAAUGCUACGGUGAAUACGUUCCCGGGCCU
rnacentral:rRNA from 1 species